rnacentral:rRNA from 1 species
UACGUAGGGUGCAAGCGUUGUCCGGAAUUAUUGGGCGUAAAGAGCUCGUAGGCGGUGUGUCGCGUCGGCCGUGAAAACCUGGGGCUUAACUCUGGGCGUGCGGUCGAUACGGGCAUCACUGGAGUUCGGCAGGGGAGACUGGAAUUCCUGGUGUAGCGGUGAAAUGCGCAGAUAUCAGGAGGAACACCGGUGGCGAAGGCGGCGCUCUGGACCGAGACUGACGCUGAGGCGCGAAAGCGUGGGGAGCAAACAGG